UCCAGAGAUCUAUGGGCACGAGGA
rnacentral:piRNA from 1 species